GAACUGGUGGUUCAGUGGUAGAAUUCUUGCCUUCUGUGUGGGAGACCUGGGUUCAAUUCCCUGCCAAGGCU
rnacentral:tRNA from 1 species